GCUCCGAAAACAAAAUCUCCCCAUUUAUUCCAGUAAAAUAGAAUAGAACAUUUGAAAGAAAGCAACAAUGAUCGUUCAACAACGCAACUGGCUGAUUUACAAUACCUUUUAUUGCUCUAAAAUUCAAAACUUUCAGACAACAAAGUUCAAGACAGUAGAGCUCACAAGGAGAGUACAAACUAACUUUCACAAUAAUCUACUUAUCAUGAUUAAAAUGAUAAACAAGUAAUCGGAAUGAGAAAUGCAUACACAGAGCUGUAGAAUUCAAUGUGCAUAAUUGAUGCUUCAGUAUUUCUUCGACUACAUGACACGAAAUUAU
rnacentral:lncRNA from 1 species